CAAGUUAUGAAAUACUUAAGAUAAUAAUAAUAAUAAUAAUAAUAAUAAUAAGUUUUUCAAUUCUCACGUUCAAAGCAUCAAUAUUCACAAAUACAAUUUGUGUAAAAAAUAAAUAAAUAAAUAAAAAAAGAAGAAGAAGAGGCUCUGAACAUUGUGGUGCAGAUGCAGAUGAAUUUGAAAGGCUUUCUAAGAAUCUUGUUGUGAGGUGGGCUGGAGAAACCACUGAACUCUUACUGUCUGAACAAACCUAUUGAACCAGUGUCCCAGGAUCAUCCGUGAAUCCGGAAGGUCAAAAGGUCAACCUUUCUGAUAUCGAUGGCUGAAUGAACUAAGCGGUGGAGAUACAGAUGUGUCUCAUGAUGGAGGCCCAAAAUCAGGUGUCCAAGGCCUGUCGCGACGUUUCGGAUUUUCUGAUCCUUCUUCAGGCGAGCGUUGGACACAAAUGGCUGGAAUUCUCUACAGCAGCCAUUCUCAUGAUGGAGGCCCAAAAUCAGGUGUCCAAGGCCUGUCGCGACGUUUCGGAUUUUCUGAUCCUUCUUCAGGCGAGCGUUGGACACAAAUGGCUGGAAUUCUCUACAGCAGCCAUGUAUACCUGUUGUUUUCUGAGUGGGCGUGCCCCC
ensembl:lncRNA